GACAGAGGGUGCAAACGUUGCUCGGAAUUACUGGGCGUAAAGCGCGUGUAGGCGGACCGGAAAGUCGGGCGUGAAAUCCCUGGGCUCAACCCAGGAACUGCACUCGAAACUUCCGGCCUUGAGUGGUGGAGAGGGUAGUGGAAUUCCUGGUGUAGAGGUGAAAUUCGUAGAUAUCAGGAGGAACACCGGUGGCGAAGGCGGCUACCUGGACACUAACUGACGCUGAGACGCGAAAGCGUGGGGAGCAAACGGG
rnacentral:rRNA from 1 species